GCUUGGGCUCUUUGCUGACGAGUGGCGGACGGGUGAGUAAUGUCUGGGAAACUGCCUGAUGGAGGGGGAUAACUACUGGAAACGGUAGCUAAUACCGCAUAACGUCGCAAGACCAAAGAGGGGGACCUUCGGGCCUCUUGCCAUCGGAUGUGCCCAGAUGGGAUUAGCUUGUUGGUGGGGUAACGGCUCACCAAGGCGACGAUCCCUAGCUGGUCUGAGAGGAUGACCAGCCACACUGGAACUGAGACACGGUCCAGACUCCUACGGGAGGCAGCAGUGGGGAAUAUUGCACAAUGGGCGCAAGCCUGAUGCAGCCAUGCCGCGUGUAUGAAGAAGGCCUUCGGGUUGUAAAGUACUUUCAGCGGGGAGGAAGGGAGUAAAGUUAAUACCUUUGCUCAUUGACGUUACCCGCAGAAGAAGCACCGGCUAACUCCGUGCCAGCAGCCGCGGUAAUACGGAGGGUGCAAGCGUAAUCGGAAUUACUGGGCGUAAAGCGCACGCAGGCGGUUUGUUAAGUCAGAUGU
rnacentral:rRNA from 1 species